CCUUGGACAGGAUAAUUUUGAGGCCACAUUUCCCAGGAUUUUCUGAUGAGUUUAAGCUCCUCUAGCCCUCUACGCUCCUGGCAAUCACCAUUCUAUUCUCUGCUUCUAUGAGUCUGCUUUAGCUUCAUCAUGCUUUGGAUUUACUGUGAAGUACCACAGAGCAGAAAACAAGAACAAAGUGCUUCCUUGGAGUAAAAUUUCUAAG